rnacentral:rRNA from 1 species
AUGUGGACGCGGCGGACGGCGAGGAGACGUGCGGCGCGUCCGCUUUGCGUCCGCGCCGACGCAUUUCAGGUGCAAUUUUGGGCCGGAAAUGGGUCGGCGUGGACGCCAGGCGGACACGAUUUGAGUUUGGGUCGGCGUGUUGGGCCGCCACUUUUGUCCGCGCCGACCCAAACAGACGCGGGCGGACGAAAUGGGUCGCCCCAUUGGAGUUGCUCUGAUUUUCGUCCUCGAGCUAGACUACGAUCCUCCUCAAAUUCAUCCAUCAUGACGCAGACGACAGAGCUUUGGCAUAGAUUUCUAUCGUCUCCUUGA